AACACAACAAAAAAAGAAAAAAGUUGUUGUGGAGGAUUCACCUCCUGAAGAAGAUCAAUACUUUGACGGUGAGAGAUAUGAAAUAUCAAGUGACGAACUCGAUGAAUGGCUAAGGAAAAACGUUGAUAAAUCUGCUGCAGAGGGGGAGAACCAAGCUGACCUGCGAUCGACAGAAGGUCGCUAUGUGUCCUCUGAAACACUACCGGCUGUGAACUUGGGAAGUGAUGAUCCUUCCUCUCAAGGACGCACAGAACAGAGUAGUGUAAACCAGCCGUCACAGAGCAU